rnacentral:rRNA from 1 species
UACGGGGGGGGCAAGCGUUGUUCGGAAUUACUGGGCGUAAAGGGCCAGUAGGCGGCCAACUAAGUCGGAUGUGAAAUCCCCAGGCUCAACUUGGGAACUGCAUCCGAUACUGGAUGGCUUGAAUCCGGGAGAGGGAUGCAGAAUUCCAGGUGUAGCGGUGAAAUGCGUAGAUAUCUGGAGGAAUACCGGUGGCGAAGGCGGCAUCCUGGACCGACAUUGACGCUGAACGGCGAAAGCUAGGGGAGCAAACGGG